AUUGAACGCUGGCGGCAUGCUUAAUACAUGCAAGUCGAGCGAGCGGCGGGCGGGUGUGUCAUGUCGGGGAAAUUGCCUGAUGGAUGGGGAUACUUACGGGAAACGGUACCUAAUACCGCAUAGCAUCAACUGUGCCCAGAUGGGAUUAUCUAGUAGGUGGGGUAAUGGCUGACCUAGGCGACGAUCCCUAGCUGGUCUGCGAGGAUGACGAGCCACACUGGAACUGAGACACGGUCCAGACUCCUACGGGAGGCAGCAGUGGGGAAUAUUGCACAAUGGGCGCAAGCCUGAUGCAGCCAUGCCGCGUGAGUGAAGAAGGCCCUCGGGUUGUAAAGCACUUUCAUCGAGGAGGCGUUACUCGAACAGAAAGCACCGGCUAACUCCGUGCCAGCAGCCGCGGUAAUUC
rnacentral:rRNA from 1 species